ACUUAAUUUUUACCACAAGAUAGACUGAAAAAAACAUAAUUUUUUACUCGAAAUUUUACAGCAGUAGAGAAGGAUGGUUGCAAGCAAAUUCCAUUGAUGCAAAUGGCCUUAGAUCACCUUGCUUUCCAUCUAAACAAAGAUCAGGUCACCAAAUUGAGAAAAAUCCAAGCUUGGAGUUCACAUUAGGAAGACCAGAUUGGGUUGAAAAGGAGCAUGAUUGAAGAUAAACACGUUCGAAUUAAAGCAUGGGCAUCUGCUAUUAAAAGGGAGCAGUAAAUCGUCGAUCGUAUUAAUCAUCACUUCAAUUUGAUCUUGAUUUAGCUGAUUAUUGUUUUGACUCUUUUCCUUUUCUUUAAUUUUGGAAUGGAAGAGAAAGCUUGAGCAUGAAAAUAUUAAGAGCUACAUAAAAAAAAAAGAAAAAAAAAAAGAAAAAGAAAAGAGAGGAGAUGUAUGACCUAAGGUUAUAUAGCUAAUUAAAUAUCCAUGCAGAUGACCUAUAGAGUUGGAUGUAUUUUUUUUUUUUUUUUAAAGGUUUCCCGUCCAUAUUUUAACCUACCCCGCCUUUUUUUC